GCAUCAAUGGGGUAGUGGUAACCUGGGUCGUUGCCAUUGAGUCAGCAACAUUCGACCCGCCGGGGGUUCGAUUCCCUCUUGAUGCA